GAGCGGCGGACGGGUGGGUAACGACGUGGACAAUCUCGCCCCCCGGCCCGGGAUAGCCCAGGGAAACCUGGAUUAAUACCGGAUGAGACGGGACCCGCGAAGGCGGGACCCGGGAAAGGCGCUGCGGCGCCGCCGGGGGAUGAGUCUGCGUCCCAUUAGCUAGACGGCGGGGUAACGGCCCACCGUGGCGACGAUGGGUAGCCGGCCUGAGAGGGUGGACGGCCACAUUGGAACUGAGACACGGUCCAGACUCCUACGGGAGGCAGCAGCUAAGAAUCUUCCGCAAUGGGCGAAAGCCUGACGGAGCGACGCCGCGUGAACGAAGAAGGCCGUGAGGUUGUAAAGUUCUUUUCGGGAGGGGGAACAACCGUGGCAGGGAAUGGCCGCGGGAUGACGUGAAUCCCGGAAUAAGCCCCGGCUAACUACGUGCCAGCAGCUGC
rnacentral:rRNA from 1 species